UAAUACGAACUGUGCGAACGUUAUUCGGAAUCACUGGGCUUAAAGGGUGCGUAGGCGGUUAUCUAAGUCAGGUGUGAAAUCUCUCGGCUCAACCGGGAAACUGCGCUUGAAACUGGGUGACUGGAGGGAUGCAGGGGUGUGUGGAACUUCCGGUGGAGCGGUGAAAUGUGUAGAUAUCGGAAGGAACGCCAGCAGCGAAAGCGGCACACUGGGCAUCUACUGACGCUGAGGCACGAAAGCUAGGGGAGUGAACGGG
rnacentral:rRNA from 1 species